rnacentral:rRNA from 1 species
GAUGAACGCUAGCGGCAGGCUUAAUACAUGCAAGUCGUGGGGCAGCAGGGGUAGCAAUACCCGCUGGCGACCGGCAAACGGGUGCGGAACACGUACGCAACCUUCCUUUAACUGGAGAAUAGCCCCUCGAAAGAGGGAUUAAUACUCCGUAACAUAUUGAUAAGGCAUCUUAUUACUAUUAUAGCUCCGGCGGUUAAAGAUGGGCGUGCGCCUGAUUAGAUAGUUGGCAGGGUAACGGCCUACCAAGUCUGCGAUCAGUAACUGGUGUGAGAGCACGACCAGUCACACGGGCACUGAGACACGGGCCCGACUCCUACGGGAGGCAGCAGUAAGGAAUAUUGGUCAAUGGACGCAAGUCUGAACCAG